AGAGUUUGAUCCUGGCUCAGGAUGAACGCUAGCGGCAGGCAUAACACAUGCAAGUCGAGGGGCAGCGGGGAGCAGCAAUGCUCUGCCGGCGACCGGCGAAAGGGUGAGUAACGCGUGAGCGACAUGCCCGUAUCUGGGGGAAAGGCGCUGGAAACGGCGUGUAAUACCGCAUAACAUUUCGCGUCGCAUGGCGUGGAAUUGAAAGCUUGGGCGGAUACGGAUUGGCUCGCGUCCGAUUAGGCAGACGGCGGGGUAACGGCCCACCGUGCCGACGAUCGGUAGGGGUUCUGAGAGGGAGGUCCCCCACAUUGGAACUGAGACACGGUCCAGACUCCUACGGGAGGCAGCAGUGAGGAAUAUUGGACAAUGGCCGGAAGGCUGAUCCAGCCAUGCCGCGUGAGGGAAUGAGGUCCUAUGGAUUGUAAACCUCUUUUCACGCAGGGCAAUAAGGUCCACGAGGUGGACCGACGAGAGUAUGCGUGGAAUAAGCAUCGGCUAACUCCGUGCCAGCAGCCGCGGUAAUACGGAGGAUGCGAGCGUUGUCCGGAUUUAUUGGGUUUAAAGGGUGCGUAGGCGGUCGUGCAAGUUGGAGGUGAAAUGCCGGCGCUCAACGUCGGGGGUGCCUCCAAUACUGUGUGGCUGGAAUGGCGAUGCCGCGGGAGGAAUGAGUGGUGUAGCGGUGAAAUGCAUAGAGAUCACUCAGAACGCCGAUUGCGAAGGCAUCUCGCGAAUCGUCUAUUGACGCUGAGGCACGAGGGCGUGGGGGAGCGAACAGGAUUAGAUACCCUGGUAGUCCACGCGGUAAACGAUGAUGACUGGUUGUUGGCGCGUUGGGGCGUCAGUGGCCGAGAGAAAUCGGUAAGUCAUCCACCUGGGGAGUACGGCCGCAAGGCUGAAACUCAAAGGAAUUGACGGGGGCCCGCACAAGCGGAGGAACAUGUGGUUUAAUUCGAUGAUACGCGAGGAACCUUACCCGGGCUCGAACGGUGCAGGAAGGAGCGGGAGACCGCGCCGCCCUACGGGGUCUGCAUCGAGGUGCUGCAUGUUGUCGUCAGCUCGUGCCGUGAGGUGUCGGCUCAAGUGCCAUAACGAGCGCAACCCUUGCCGUCAGUUGCCAGCGGGUGAAGCCGGGGACUCUGACGGGACUGCCGCCGCAAGGUGAGAGGAAGGUGGGGAUGACGUCAAAUCAGCACGGCCCUUACGUCCGGGGCGACACACGUGUUACAAUGGGGGCUACAGAGGGGGGACCGGGCCGGCGACGGCGAGGGAAUCCCGGAAAGGCCCUCUCAGUUCGGAUCGGAGUCUGCAACCCGACUCCGUGAAGCUGGAUUCGCUAGCAAUCGCGCAUCAGCCAUGGCGCGGUGAAUACGUUCCCGGGCCUUGCACACACCGCCCGUCA
rnacentral:rRNA from 1 species